UCGACGAUUAGUUUGAUCCUGGCUCAGAGCGAACGCUGGCGGCGUGCCUAACACAUGCAAGUCGAACGUGAACGGGGGCAACCCCUAGUAAAGUGGCGUACGGGUGAGUAACGCGUAGGUAAUCUACCCCAGAGUUUGGAAUAACCUGCCGAAAGGCGGGCUAAUACCAGAUAGAGCGACGGAAUCCGUAAUUGGGUUUUUCGGGAAAGGGAGCCGGCAACGGCCUUUGCUCUGGGAUGAGCCUGCGUCUCAUUGGCUAGUUGGUGGGGUAAAAGCCCACCAAGGCAUUGAUGGGUAGCUGGUCUGAGAGGAUGAUCAGCCACACUGGAACUGAAACACGGUCCAGACUCCUACGGGAGGCAGCAGUGGGGAAUCUUGCGCAAUGGAGGAAACUCUGACGCAGCCACGCCGCGUGGAGUGAAGAAGGCCUUCGGUUUGUAAAGCUCCGUCGGAAGGGACGAACAUUUUUAGGGUUAACAGCCCUAGGAACUGACGGUACCUUCAAAGGAAGCACCGGCUAACUCCGUGCCAGCAGCCGCGGUAAUACGGAGGGUGCAAGCGUUGCUCGGAAUUAUUGGGCGUAAAGGGCAAGUAGGUGGUCUCAUUUGUCAGGGGUGAAAGCCUUGGGCUUAACUCAAGAAGUGCCCCUGAAACGGUGAGACUAGAGUGCUGGAGAGGGUCGUGGAAUUCCCGGUGUAGCGGUGAAAUGCGUAGAGAUCGGGAGGAACACCAGAGGCGAAGGCGGCGACCUGGACAGCGACUGACACUCAACUGCGAAAGCGUGGGGAGCAAACAGGAUUAGAUACCCUGGUAGUCCACGCUGUAAACGAUGGGUACUAGGCUUGGUGGGUCUUGACCCCCGCCGAGCCGGAGCUAACGCACUAAGUACCCCGCCUGGGAAGUACGGUCGCAAGACUAAAACUCAAAGGAAUUGACGGGGGCCCGCACAAGCGGUGGAUCAUGUGGUUUAAUUCGAAGCAACGCGAAAAACCUUACCUGGGUUUGACAUCCUCUGACAGCUCUAGAGAUAGAGUUUUUGUAGAAAUACAACAGAGAGACAGGUGCUGCAUGGCUGUCGUCAGCUCGUGUGGUGACAUGUUGGGUUAAGUCCCGCAACGAGCGCAACCCUCGUCUUUAGUUGCUACCAUUUAGUUGAGCACUCUAAAGAAACUGCCGGUGAUAAGCCGGAGGAAGGUGGGGAUGACGUCAAGUCCUCAUGGCCCUUACGCGCUGGGCUACACACGUGCUACAAUGGCGGUGACAACGGGCAGCAAACUCGCGAGAGUGAGCAAAUCCCAAAAAGCCGUCUCAGUUCGGAUUGUUCUCUGCAACUCGAGAGCAUGAAGGCGGAAUCGCUAGUAAUCGCGGAUCAGCACGCCGCGGUGAAUACGUUCCCAGGCCUUGUACACACCGCCCGUCACACCAUGGGAGUUGGUUUCACCCGAAGGCGCUACGCUAACCCGCAAGGGAGGCAGGCGACCACGGUGGGAUCAGCGACUGGGGUGAAGUCGUAACAAGGUAGCCGUAAAUCUCUAG
rnacentral:rRNA from 1 species